rnacentral:lncRNA from 1 species
UCUUCUUUGAAUCUGAGCGGGAUAGGGAUUUGAGACCUCAUUGGAGUCUUAAAUCCCAUCUAUAAAAGCCAUUCCCUCCCCCUUUAGGUAAAUCCACCCCUUAGUUGUGAGCUAUUGCUGAUGAAAACCAAUCAGAUUUUCCUGAUUCUUUGAAAAUUAUUCUCCAUGAUUCGCCAUUGAUCCACUGCUGGAGUCAAGGUAAGAGAAUCCCAACCCCAUCUCC